rnacentral:rRNA from 1 species
AUACAGAGGAUGCGAGCGUUAAUCGGAAUUACUGGGCGUAAAGCGCGCGUAGGCGGCUUAUUAAGUCAGAUGUGAAAUCCCCGGGCUCAACCUGGGAACUGCAUCUGAUACUGGUAAGCUAGAGUUUUGGAGAGGGAAGUAGAAUUUCAGGUGUAGCGGUGAAAUGCAUAGAGAUCUGAAGGAAUACCAGUGGCGAAGGCGACUUCCUGGCCAAAAACUGACGCUGAGGUGCGAAAGCGUGGGUAGCAAACGGGAUUAGAUACCCUAGUAGUCC